UACUCUCAAAUAUUCCUAAUAAGAUUAGGAGGUAAAUUAAUUAAAAGAUUUUAAUUAAUUAUUCCUAAUAAGAUUAGGAGCCUAAUUAAUUAAAGGAGUUUAAUUAAUUAAAAUAAAACCCAAUUCCUUAAUUGUUAAGGAGGGUUUCUUACAUCUAUAAAUAAGAUGAGUCUUAUUAUAGGUGAGGUGGUUGUUGACGUUUUCACAAAACACGUGAAUACAAUUGUUGGAGAGUACGCUCCUUUUCUAUGAGAUAGAAAACUAAGAUUUUGCCAAACACCCAUCUUCUUGAAUCUUUAUUCUUUCUUGGUGGAUCACCUCUAGAGGCCAAACACUUGGGUAGCUAACGUUGAUCAAAGGAAGGAACCAAACCCGGUGGAUUCAAGUUGAACGCGAAAGGAUUUGGAGGUGAACUUGGACCUGAAGAAACUCGAUCUUCAAGGGUAUUAUUUUAUUCUUUAUCUUUUCAUUUAAUUAAUAAUUGUGCAUAAAGGAUGAUCCGGGUAUAUGGUUUGUAAAAUUUUAAACUCUGAUUUUUACAUGUUUCCGCUUAUUUUAUGCAAUUUGAUUGAGUCUAUGAAUAUUAAAAACCUAACAAUCCACACCAUAAUAUUCAAAAAUAUAUUUCGAGAAAAUUAUUCUUUAUUCAUAAAAGUUGGGGUCUUACAAGAAUUCUCUGAUUCAGGUGUGAUUUUCAAUUCUAAACUAAGCAUCUUAUUUAUAUGAGAAUGGAAUGAUACUAUUUAGAAAAUAAAAUCACGGACUGCACAGUACAUUCACGGGCCUCGAAUCCUUCGAUUGAAUUUUUGAAAAAAAAU
rnacentral:lncRNA from 1 species